CCCAGCACGGUAAUUACGUCCUGUAUUGAGUCCAGGUGCGUCACUGAGGGCGAAUUGAAAACAAACAAAGCUAAUUUUUCUUCAUAUUUCACCGAAAUUUACACUUUUCCCCGAUGAAAAUGACACCAAUAACAUCGUCCAACGUACCAUUUGAGUGUCUUCGUCGGCUCCGUGAUGAGUUUAAAGUUCGCUGAGCUCUCCUUCCACUUCCUGCCGGUUUCUGCAGCGGAGCUUAUAUCGCAUCUCUACAGUUGGGCCAUCAACACAGCAAGUGGUCUGAGUAUCUAAAAGAAGACUGCUGAGGAUUUCUUAAGGUGGAUCUGAGGUGAACGUGGUCAGCAGCCAAUGAACAUCAACACAGCAGGCGGUCCCAGGAAAGAGGACUCCUUAAGGGAACAGAAGUGAAGCAUCUCUACAGUUGGGCCAUCAACACAGCAAGUGGUCUGAGUAUCUAAAAGAAGACUGCUGAGGAUUUCUUAAGUCUGUGUUUGUGCUCCGUGGCCUCCUCCAUGUUCCCCUCCUUCAGAGACUUGGUCACGUGCUGCCACAGGUGAACUCCAGAGUUCCGUUCCACUCACCCUGUGCUUUACACACCAGUGUGUUGGUCAGGUUGUGUUUGACCUCGGCCGUGACUCUGAGGGGACAACAGACGGAAUGGUCAUUGACAGGGCUGCUGCAGUGGAGACUCGUCAGGAGGACACAUCUACUGAGGACAGAGUGACACGGAAUGGCUUGGUGUGGAAAGUGACGGAGGCUGAGUAUCCACUCUUAAUACAGCUGAUGGAGACUUUUCCUCCCAGCUCCACCCAGGGCACAGUGAGGAUGGAGCGAGCGUAGGCACAGGGCAGCGUGAAGACGUACUCCUCAUCGUGUUCCAGGAGGUGCAGGACUCCUAAGGGGGGAGAGAGAAGGAGACAUGUUAUGUGGAGGGGUGAAGAAGGUGAAAAUAAAAGUUCUUUUCCUGAAAAAA